GGGUCAGUAGGUUGGUCGUGCCACCGGUUAGUACUGGUCUCACUGAUUCCUCCUUCCUGAAGAACCGUAAUGCCAUUAAUUUGGUGUUGCGGGGAAACAGGACUGUUACUUUGAAAAAAUUAGAGUGUUUAAAGCAAGCUAACGCUUGAAUACAUUAGCAUGGAAUAAUGAAAUAGGACGAUCGAUCCUAUUUUGUUGGUUUCUAGGAUUGACGUA
rnacentral:rRNA from 1 species